AGCAGUUCUCUUGCCUCAGCCUCCCAAGUAACUGGUACUACAGUUUGUCCUCGGCUGUUACAGAGAAUUGAUACAAAAAAUGAUCAUGUGAAGAAUUUGCAUCUUCUGCAGAACUACCGGUAUCAGUCAGCAGUAGGAGAUUGUAUAAAUUCAGCCUGAGAUUCCAGAAUAUUCUGUGUAUUGACCACCACAGCAAGAAGAAAAAGUCCAUGUAGGACUGAAAUGAGUCUGGAUAAGCCAAAGGUUUUCCCAAAGUCACAGAACCUCUGAGAAGAAAGGCUGGGAUGAAAAUCUACUUUCCUGAACACAAGUCUUGGUUCAUUUGAAUGUUUCUUCUGGGUGCCAAUUCUUG
rnacentral:lncRNA from 1 species